rnacentral:rRNA from 1 species
ACUCCUACGGGAGGCAGCAGUAGGGAAUCUUCCACAAUGGGCGAAAGCCUGAUGGAGCAACGCCGCGUGGGUGAAGAAGGUCUUCGGAUCGUAAAACCCUGUUGUUAGAGAAGAAAGUGCGUGAGAGUAACUGUUCACGUUUCGACGGUAUCUAACCAGAAAGCCACGGCUAACUACGUGCCAGCAGCCGCGGUAAUACGUAGGUGGCAAGCGUUAUCCGGAUUUAUUGGGCGUAAAGGGAACGCAGGCGGUCUUUUAAGUCUGAUGUGAAAGCCUUCGGCUUAACCGGAGUAGUGCAUUGGAAACUGGGAGACUUGAGUGCAGAAGAGGAGAGUGGAACUCCAUGUGUAGCGGUGAAAUGCGUAGAUAUAUGGAAGAACACCAGUGGCGAAAGCGGCUCUCUGGUCUGCAACUGACGCUGAGACUCGAAAGCAUGGGUAGCGAACAGGAUUAGAUACCCUGGUAGGAUAGCG